GGAGGGAACGUGCGCAGGUUCGGCUGGAGCUGUAAGCAACUGAAGAGUUUUCUCCUCUUUUGGGCUUCUCAUCAAAAGCAAAACUACAUGUGAACCUUCAGAGAAAACUCUCUCUGAUUGUAUCUGCAAACGUCCUGUACCAGAUGGGAAGCCCACAACAAGAAGCGAAGAGCCAUUUUCCUGCAUACCCUGUACAUUAUCUGCCUCUUGAGCAGAACUGAAAAGAAUAGGAACUCCAGGACAAGGACAUCUGAAAAAAGGUCAGUGGCAGCAACUCCAGGAGAUGGUCUGGAUUCCUCCACUGAGAACAGCAAAGGAAAGGAAGGACAAUAGCAGUUUUGUUUUUCUCAGAUCUGUACUAGCUUUUAAAAUGAAGAACUAGUAGCCCAGAGGCAGGCAGUCUCGCAGUGGACUUAGUUACACUUGAAAAACAUGUGCCAAGUUCCAUACAGGCGAAACAGAAGAAACGAAGAUUACCUUCAGCUGCCCCGACAGCACUGCUUGCCAGGACAGAAUGCAGCAGCGAUGCCACUCGUGCUCCUCAUCUACCUUCCAAGGAGCUUGCUGUAAAGAGAAAUCUGAAGAAGCUGUCUGGCCUGUGAAAACACCUCAGGGGAUCUUGUUCUUCUGCGGAGGAGUGUGAUUGAUGUACUACUUAGAAUGAACAUACUGGACUUGGUAAUGAUUGCUUUAGAAGUCAGGUUAUCUGCAGGUACGCACCAGAUGACACUCACUGCAUUACGCACCGGCAAUGUACACAGCAACGUGGCAAUACAAUGAGCUAGAAUCAAACUCCACCAUGCUAUUGUUUGGACUAAUCAAUGCAUAUCUUCCAGGUCAUGCAGCUGACAUGCUGUGGUGCCUUUUCCAUCGCCUCUGGUGCCAUCAUCUUUGCUCCCUGAAAGAAGG